GCUGGUACCUGGGCUCCGGCAGGACGAUCCUCUUGCUUGCGCGGGCGGCCGGGGUAGCCUUGCUCUUCUCCAUGGCCAUCAGAGAUGCCGAUAGGGAGCCCCCUGAUGGAAGAGCUCUUGGCUUAAGAAGGUCACCACUCCCUUGCACUCAGCCCGCCACCCCCCACAAUCUAAUUCCCUGCUAAGCCUGCCAUCACCAUUGACCAGUUUUACCAUAUGCUUCUCAAGAUCCAAGGCACAAUAGGCAUAAAGUUGUCCUGAAAAGCACAAGAGGAGUGUCAGAAGUAGGAAUGGCCGUUGAAGGAGCUUGGUCUGGCAGCAGAAAGUUGAAAUGACAGGCAAGCAUGAAAUAUAUUAAUGAGACAAAGCUAUGCAUGAGCCAAAUAUCAAACUUUAAUCUUCUACCCACUGUUUUUUUUUUGUUUUUUUUUUUUUUU